UUUCCCAUCUGGCAUGCGAAUUGUUUAGAUUUCAUUUAACCGUAACAACCCAAUUAUUUCAGUAAAUCCUGCUCCUCCACUACUCUUUUUAUCUCUUCUUUAUUCCUCAUCUUCCGCUUGUAAAAGUGGUUUAUUGAUAGCAAAUUUUUUUUUUAAUCCCUUGGCCCUUAUGUCCGCGGCCAAGAAUCGACGUCAAGGAUCUCAAGCCUGAAGCGCUGCAGAACUGAACGUGCAGCGGCAGCGGGGCGAAGCCCGGGGAAACAGGUUUCGCCUGGACCGCGGCGCCCGCAGCCUCAUCCUCUCGGCAUCGGGCAUGUCCCAGGCUCGGGGGCAGCCAAAGGCGGCGGCGGGUGGAGAACCGCGGGGAAGAGGUUCGUCGGGAGAGAGAGCUCACAGACCCACUUUGCUCCCAGCCACCCCCGCCCCAAGCCCUGAAGAUCAGCGGCCACAGAAUCCUCACCACCCCGAUCUCCCUUUUCCUCCCCGCCCCGUCGGGGGAUCAGGGGUCGGAGAACACGCCUCCAAUGCCGGAAGGUGGGGAAAAGCGGUCAGGGGGGAAGAGUGCGGGAGAGGCACCGUCCGAAGCAUUUGCAGCUCCCUGACACUCCUGCAAGCCUUGUUGGAGGGCGGCUCGUUGUAGCUUCUGCAGGUGGGGACGCUGACCACGCUCCGCACUCAUUCAUCAGGAUCCCCCGCGCCGUCCCUCCGCCUGCGCGGAGCUCGGAGAAACCCCCGCGCCCAACUGUAGGAACCUGGGAGCUUUGAAUUGGCCGGCGGAUCGGAAGGAGUUUGUGGAGAAGCCUUGACUUAACUCUAGAACAAGUGAUAAAAUAUUUAGAAAUGUGUUUGCGUCCUUGGCGAACCCUAGGCCAAAUGGUGCUUUUCCAGAGAAUAUUCUUGGACACUCACUCUAUUUGGAUGCACUCUACAUACCUCUUUUGCAAGGGG